rnacentral:rRNA from 1 species
GGGUUGUACUAGAAGGUCUGCAUGNUAACCCGCAAGGAGGCAGCGGCCCAAGGUAUGACUCAUGAUUGGGGUG